rnacentral:rRNA from 1 species
GCUCAGUGACACGUGGCCAAGCUACCCUGUGGACGGGAAUACUCUCGGGAAACUGAGACUAAUCCCCGAUAACGCUUUGCUCCUGGAAGGGGCAAAGCCGGAAACGCUCCGGCGCCACAGGAUGCGGCUGCGGUCGAUUAGGUAGACGGUGGGGUAACGGCCCACCGUGCCCAUAAUCGGUACGGGUUGUGAGAGCAAGAGCCCGGAGACGGAAUCUGAGACAAGAUUCCGGGCCUUACGGGGCGCAGCAGGCGCGAAACCUUUACACUGUACGAAAGUGCGAUAAGGGGACUCCGAGUGGAAGGCAUAGAGCCUUCACUUUUGUACACCGUAAGGCGGGCACGAAUAAGNACNGSGCAWSMCCGGUGCCAGCCGCCGCGGUAAUACCGGCCGUCCGAGUGAUGGGCGAUCUUAUUGGGCCUAAAGCGUCCGUAGCUGGCUGAACAAGUCCGUUGGAAAAUCUGUCCUCUUAACGGGNCCGGGUCCAGAGGAAACUGGUCAACUUGGCAUCGGAAGACCUUAUUUUUAC